AUCUCUUCGGAGCAUUUUACGUAGGUGCUGCAUGGUUGUCGUCAGCUCGUGCCGUGAGGUGUCGGGUUAAGUCCCAUAACGAGCGCAACCCCUACCCUUUAGUUGCCAUCAGGUUAAGCUGGGGACGUCUAAAGGAACUGCCUACGCAAGUAGUGAGGAAGGCGGGGAUGACGUCAAAUCAGCACGGCCCUUACGUCCAGGGCUACACACGUGCUACAAUGGCCGAUACAGAGGGCAGCUACCUGGUGACAGGAUGCAAAUCUCCAAAGUCGGUCUCAGUUCGGAUCGGAGUCUGCAACCCGACUCCGUGAAGUUGGAUUCGCUAGUAAUCGCGCAUCAGCCAUGGCGCGGUGAAUACGUUCCCGGGCCUU
rnacentral:rRNA from 1 species